rnacentral:rRNA from 1 species
UACGUAGGGCGCAAGCGUUGUCCGGAAUUAUUGGGCGUAAAGAGCUCGUAGGCGGUCUGUCACGUCGGUUGUGAAAACCCAAGGCUCAACCUUGGGCCUGCAAUCGAUACGGGCAGACUAGAGUACUGCAGGGGAGACUGGAAUUCCUGGUGUAGCGGUGGAAUGCGCAGAUAUCAGGAGGAACACCGGUGGCGAAGGCGGGUCUCUGGGCAGUAACUGACGCUGAGGAGCGAAAGCGUGGGGAGCAAACAGG